UACGGAGGGUGCAAGCGUUAAUCGGAAUUACUGGGCGUAAAGCGCACGCAGGUGGCUGAGUCAGUCGAUUGUGAAAGCCCUGGGCUUAACCUGGGAAUUGCAGUCGAUACUACUCGGCUCGAGUAUGGGAGAGGGCAGUGGAAUUCCCGGUGUAGCGGUGAAAUGCGUAGAUAUCGGAAGGAACAUCAGUGGCGAAGGCGACUUCCUGGACCAAUACUGACGCUCAGGUGCGAAAGCGUGGGGAGCAAACAGG
rnacentral:rRNA from 1 species